CAAUAAGAUGAUCAUUAACUACAGUCAUGGAAGUGUGGAUGGAUGAUGGAAGAGUCCAAAAGAAGGCGGCAUGAUUUUCCAAAUGCAGGUAGCGGAUGUGACUGUGUCUUUAGAUAGCCCUGGGACUCUGCCCUGGAAUCCAUAGAACCCUAAAAGGGGAGUGUGGCAGAAACUCACUCCUCAGCAACUCCCUGUACUUAACUUCAACAGAGGGGCGCUCUCCCUUUGAAUACCAAAAAGGGAUAGCACAGAGGGGCAGAUACCACUGUGAGGGGUUCUGCGGGACUCAGUUUGAGCCUCUCCUUCCUUUGGAUUCUAGCUUCAGAGGAGUAAGGCAGUUCCCUGUUGUUAGGAAAACUUUGCUUCAUAGCACUCAAGUCUACAGGGGAGCAGGGGAAGGAUGUGAAGACUGUGGUAACAGAGGAAGAAGUUCACUGAUCCGCAGUGCGCUCUGUCCAUGAAGGGAGCAGUCAACAACAAAGCGCUUUCUUCAGCCAUGAAGGUUUUUGUCUAAAAAGUGUUCAACUCCAACUAGACCCAUGAAUCAAGAAGGUCUGAACUGUGAAUGCUACCAUUUCCUGCUUAGGACAGCUCACCCAGCCCUCCAGAGCUCUUACCCCUCGAACUGUGGACUACCCAUGAGGGCAGUGCCAUCCAGCUGAUGACCCACACAAACAUGGUCAGACUGAAAAGGAAUUACCCUGAGGCUCAAUCUGGAUAGAGAUUCAGCAGAACUUCGCUAGACCCAGCAAAGUUACUAACUGUUGAGUUCUCUUGCCCAGGUGAUUUGAAAGGACUGUCCUGAUGCAAGAAAUUCAAUGUCAAGAACAGUUCUGCCUUUGCACUGUUACAAAUUUAAAAGGUUUCAAUGCCUUUGUAUUGGAUUCUCUGCUCCUGUGCCCUUUGGUGCAGCUAUAAGCCACUCGAUCUAUCAAGGGAAGAAUAACAGAACCGGGGAUUAAGAAAGUUUUAUCUCCCAGGAAAAAUGUAAUAGCUGAGAACUGAAGAAUAUAUGGAAAUCAUCAGAGAAUGACCUAUUGUGCUCUCUUCUUGUGUAAAGAUGUGGAAACAGUUAAAUAACACAGAUUGUUCAUAAAUGAAGACAGAGGACACUGCUCAUCAAACCUGUAGGCAAGAAAAGCUUUGAGGAAAACACAUGUGUUUCAUAAUAGAAUUCUCCACCCAGUGACCACAGGACAUUGAACAAUGGAUCCAAUCUUACAAUAAAAUUGAAAAGGAAUCAAUGUAUAAGCCUACAUGUGAGUACAAAAAAAAAUGUUUUUUAAAUUCUAAACACUCUUCCACAGGAUGGGGUGAACACAGAUCAACAGUAACACAUGUUCUACAAGAUGAUAAAUGUAGGCAGCAUCAAGAGAUACAGAACCUUCUGAAGUGGAGGAAGAUAAGCAUCCUGCUCUUCCUCCUCUAUGCUAAUCAGAAUGUUCUCAGAAUCAUGUGCUGGGUUCAGUUCCUCCUAGGACAAGCUAAAGAGAUCAAGACAAACUGGAGCACAAUCAAAGAAAAGCAACUAGGAUUGUUGUAAAUUUGAAACCAUGAAAUGCAAUAAAUCUGGCAGUGGUGAUCUUGAAGCACGUAUGCAUGGAACAUCUCAGCUAGGCACCUUCCUCUUCCAUGCCCACUUUAUCCCCACUUUAUCUUUCAUG